AUCUUUUUAGUACAAAUAGAAUUAGUGACUUCCAAUCACUUGAUCUUAGUUAAAACCUGAGAAAAGAUA